rnacentral:rRNA from 1 species
AACGAACGCUGGCGGCAUGCCUAACACAUGCAAGUCGAACGAGACCUUCGGGUCUAGUGGCGCACGGGUGCGUAACGCGUGGGAACCUGCCCUUAGGUUCGGAAUAACUCCCCGACAGGGGUGCUAAUACCGGAUAAUGUCUUCGGACCAAAGAUUUAUCGCCUUUGGAUGGGCCCGCGUUGGAUUAGCUAGUUGGUAGGGUAAAAGCCUACCAAGGCGACGAUCCAUAGCUGGUCUGAGAGGAUGAGCAGCCACACUGGGACUGAGACACGGCCCAGACUCCUGCGGGAGGCAGCAGUGGGGAAUAUUGGACAAUGGGCGAAAGCCUGAUCCAGCAAUGCCGCGUGAGUGAUGAAGGCCUGAGGGUUGUAAAGCUCGUUUACCCGGGAUGAUAAUGACAGUACCGGGAGAAUAAGCUCCGGCUAACUCCGUG